AUUGUAAACCCUGAACAGAAAUAAACCAGAUGGACAAACGUGCCUGGAAUAUUUUCUCUCGUGGAUAUUGAGCUGCUUUUGAAAGAUAACUGGCAUUUCAAUUCUCCUUCUAUAUCAACACAGCUCCAAAUCCUACAUUGCUGGUGACGAUAGUGAUUUUGAAAGAUUUGGUGUGG